GAUGAACGCUGGCGGCGUGCCUAAUACAUGCAAGUCGAGCGAACGGACGAGAAGCUUGCUUCUCUGAUGUUAGCGGCGGACGGGUGAGUAACACGUGGAUAACCUAUCUAUAAGACUGGGAUAACUUCGGGAAACCGUAGCUAAUACCGGAUAAUAUUUUGAACCGCAUGGUUCAAAAGUGAAAGACGGUCUUGCUGUCACUUAUAGAUGGAUCCGCGCUGCAUUAGCUAGUUGGUAAGGUAACGGCUUACCAAGGCAACGAUGCAUAGCCGACCUGAGAGGGUGAUCGGCCACACUGGAACUGAGACACGGUCCAGACUCCUACGGGAGGCAGCAGUAGGGAAUCUUCCGCAAUGGGCGAAAGCCUGACGGAGCAACGCCGCGUGAGUGAUGAAGGUCUUCGGAUCGUAAAACUCUGUUAUUAGGGAAGAACAUAUGUGUAAGUAACUGUGCACAUCUUGACGGUACCUAAUCAGAAAGCCACGGCUAACUACGUG
rnacentral:rRNA from 1 species